rnacentral:sRNA from 1 species
UAAUUAUGAGAUUCCAAAUCCGAAUCGAAACUAGUUAAAAAAUGGCUUAAGUUGCUAUUUAGUCACUUUUUAAAACUUAAUUGGAAAGUAGUCACUUUACUAUUCAUAAUUUGCAAAAUAGUCACUUUUCACUGUUUGAUUCGUACACUUGGAUUGUACAUCACUUUUAGUGUACAAAUAUAUAUAAAAAUACACAGCGUACAUUUUACAUUUGUACACUAAAAGUGAUGUACAAUCCAAGUGUACGAAUCAAACAGUGAAAAGUGACUAUUUUGCAAAUUAUGAAUAGUAAAGUGACUACUUUCCUAAUUAAGUUUGAAAAAAUGACUAUUUUGCAAACACACCCUUAAAAAAUUUAUGGUGGAAUGGAUAAUCUUUAUACUUAAAGCUUAUUCGAUGACCAACUAUGAUUGUAGUUAUAGUAAUACUAU